rnacentral:lncRNA from 1 species
AAGUGUUACAGGACAGAAGUAGAGCUUGGUGACAGAAAUGGGAGAAGUUGACUGUUGCCCACUGGGAUUGAUGUAAACAGAGGAGCUUGGCGGCUUCCAUGGUGUCCAGGGUUUUACCCCACUCACCUUGGGACGGCUUCUGCACAUCUGGAAGAGGGUGCCGCUGCAGCGCCGGUUUUACAUCUUUAAGGGACAUUCAGCUCCCUUGAGCUUUCUCCCUCCAGAGCCACAUGGUCCAGUGGAAAUAGAAGUCCAAAGAAAGUCUUACUUUCUACAGUCAGUUCUUGACCCUGCAGCCGGUGAAGGCAAAACCUUUCCUUGGAGGGGGAGAGGGCCUCGGUCGGCCACUUCUGGCAAGUGAUAGAGCCCUGGAGGACAAAAUUGGAACUUUGAGAAGUCAGCUCCACUGAG